AAUCCGGAACUGACGGUCGGGCGUAGCCGGCACCGCCCAUCUGCGUCCCGGAAGGAGCGAGCUUGCGGCGCGUGAACCAGUGAGUGAAAGCGGCGCCGCCCGCCGGCCGCAGGUGCGGCAAAGCCAGUGUCAUCUGCCGGUUCUCUUAGGGCUCCCGGAAAGAAGGAGGGCGAGCCGCGUGCAUUCGCGCCGCGCUUCCUUGCGUUUCUGUUCCCCAAAUAGGGCCUCUCCUUCUCCCGCCGCCCAGGCCCCUGCGUGGGCUGGACGCGUCAGCCCCACACAUUAGCCUCGCUGCGGCGCCCAGACUCUGCUUUGCCUCCCCGUCCCGGUCCCUGGCCCCUGCCCUGUCGCCCGCCGCCGGAGCAGUGACCGCCCGGCCCGCCGUUCUUCUGCUGCCACCGCUGCCGGCACCAUGGGCAGUGAGCAGAGCUCCGAGGCCGAGAGCCGACCCAACGAUCUGAACUCCUCAGUGACUCCUUCACCAGCCAAGCAUAGAGCCAAGAUGGAUGAUAUUGUGGUUGUAGCUCAGGGCUCCCAGGCCUCACGGAACGUCAGCAACGAUCCCGAUGUCAUCAAGUUGCAAGAGAUUCCAACCUUCCAGCCCCUUUUGAAAGGGCUAUUGAGUGGUCAGACUUCCCCAACAAAUGCCAAAUUGGAGAAACUGGACUCUCAGCAGGUGUUGCAGCUCUGCCUCCGAUAUCAAGAUCACCUGCAUCAGUGUGCAGAGGCCGUUGCUUUUGACCAGAAUGCUUUGGUUAAACGAAUCAAAGAGAUGGAUCUGUCUGUAGAAACUCUGUUCAGCUUCAUGCAGGAGCGCCAGAAAAGAUACGCCAAGUAUGCCGAGCAGAUCCAGAAAGUGAACGAGAUGUCCGCCAUCCUCCGCCGCAUACAGAUGGGCAUCGACCAGACCGUGCCCCUGCUGGACAGGCUCAACAGCAUGCUGCCCGAGGGCGAGCGGCUGGAGCCCUUCAGCAUGAAGCCCGACCGCGAGCUCAGGCUGUAGCUGCUGCCCGGCCUGCCUGGGGCUGGGAGCCCCAGACACCGACACCCUGAGGACGUGUGGAGCCAAGGUCAUCUCAUCUGACCAGGUCAAAUGAAAAGCCAAUCACAGAAGACAUUUUCCUGCCCUCACCUGUAAGCUUCAUCUAAAGACAUGUCCAUCCUCUUCAUGAUGUAGGCGAUAGCGAUGGUGGCGGAGCGGGAGAUCCCAGCUAAACAGUGCACUAGGACACAUCCAUUGGAGGCUUUUGCUUUCUCUGUAUAAGUCAAAUGCAAGAAAGGUCACUACUAACUAUUUUGUUCAGCAGUGAAAUCUUGUUUCCAUUUACUUACUCAGUAUCUUCCACCUGAAAACCUCUACGCAAAUCUUAUCUGUGUAUAUCAUAUUUAUCCUCGCAAUAUUCUUUUGAGGAGGCAGGGGAAGAUAAUUCCCUCACCAUUGACAUGCAGGACAACUGGGGUCCAAAACUGUUUGUUAAUAACCAAUUCGUUAAUAAGCAAGCUACUAUUAACUCAGGUUUCCUGACUUAUGUUAGUAUUUUCCCCUAAGAUAUGGGUAAUAUUUAAUAUAUUCCUGUUAUCUGACACUUCAAAUUUUUCCCUGAUUACCUAAGAAAUAUAAUUACAUUUUUUAAAAUUAUUAUUACUAUUUCGAGAUAGAGUCUUGCUCUGUCGCCCAGGCUGGAGUGCACGAUGUCGGCUCAUUGCAAUCUCCGCCUCCCGGAUUCAAGUGAUUCUCCUGCCUUAGCCUCCAGAGUAGCUGGGAUUACAGGUGUGCAGCACCAUGCCUGGCUAAUUUUUCUAUUUUUAGUGGAGUCGUCGUUUCACCAUGUUGGGCAGGCUGGUCUCUAACUCCUGGCCUCAAGUGAUCCAUCCACCUCAGCCUCCCAAAGUGCUGGGAUUACAGGAGUGAGCCACUGCCCCUGGCCUCCCUAUUUUAAGCAACUUUUCUGUAUGUCAUAAAAUGGCUUAACUUUAUUUACUGAGUUUUAGAAGAAAACCUUGUAUAGGCUAUGAAUCAGGUUUAGCAGGUCACUUUAAUGAGAUCCAAGAUAACUUUUAUCCCUUCCUUGAUACCAGGAGUUAUUGUCUUAUGGCAUUAUCUCAAUUCCCCACAACAUGAUGGAAGGACUCACGGACACUUUGUUAGAACCAAAGAACCAGGGAAAUCCAAGCAGUGCUGCCAUCUCUCACUGCUGAGGGGCUUAACAAUAUGUACAUGUGGCAGGGGACGAGGUUAUUCCACACAGCCUGGAAGCUACUAACAUUCUGGCCAGUUCCAUGACUGCCUCAAUUCUAAAUAAUUACAUGUGUGCUCAGUCAUGAAGCUGAAUUCUCCCCUUUUCAUUCUUGGUAGAUACUACCAAAAGUCUACUGAACCUUGUGUUAAAAUUCUUGCGAUUAACAGAUGCGCAAAGAAUCUUACUUUGGCAGCUGAAUAAUACAAAGCUAUUCAAUCUCACUGCCUAUGCUAUAAAUAUAAGUUUCUAGUGUAAUGAUUAUUAUAUAUAACAUAAUUAUUCAUCAUAUAUAAAGCAACAUACAGGUUUUGGGUAGUAUAUGAAUAAUUAAGCAGCAAGCAGCUUCCCUUCUAGAUCGGGAAACCAAACACAAUAAAACAAUAACAAAUGAAUACCAAGCAACACUCAAACAAAGAAUUGCAUGCUAUACAAGUAAGAACAUAUAAACUCGUGUACACAGUCUCAUGCCUUCCUGUGCCUCCAGCGUCCCCUUCCUUCUCAGCUAUCAUUUACCCCACGUUACUCUCAGUGUUUCCUUCCCUUUCUGCCCUGCUGCUAAGAAGCUCAAAGCUAAGGUUUCUACUCAAUUUCAAUAAGUAGCAAUUCAGACUUUUUGUCAGUUACUGUACAUUUCCUAGCCCCUAUUACUUGAUUAUUGCUCCUUUAUACCAUUAUAAUGUGUAUGUGUGAGAAUAUGUGUAUCUUUUGGUUCUAACCUAUUAUUGAAAACUGCUUCAAAUCCUUACUGGAAGGAGUCUGGGUUUUUGUUUUUUAAUGUUGACAAUACUCUCUCAUUAAUUUUAAUAAUUAUCUAUCUCAAAACCUAGAUUAUAAGGACCUAGAAGGAUCUUGCUUGCUUCUAACAAUCCCCCAAAAGAUUUAACACUAGGCACAUGGUAGGCAUCCAGCUGAUACUGGCUGAUACAUAUUUUCAAAAGAGAUUUUAAUAAAAAAAGAAGGCGGCUGGAAGGAAAUAAAACAAUGACAGUAACAUGCGUUACGAUGUUGAGGUUAUAGGUUUCCUUUUCUCUGUUUUUCAAAUUUUCUGCAAUGUGCUUACAACUGUUUUUAUAACCACAACUCUUUUGAUGACGUCUUUUAAAAAUGAAAAAAACAAGUGACUAUACUGGAGUUGAGGUUCACCAGCACGCAUCUUGGGAGACAUGAGCCCUAAACUGUGUCUUCAAGCAAAGGAAUUAAUUUAACACACAGAACUGGCAGAGAGGAGAAGGGAAAUGUGUGCGAGAGAGGAGAAGGGAAAUGUGUGCGAGAAAGCCCUGCAGUGGGACUGAGCAAAGUGCUCAUUCGAAAACAGCCUGCCUUGGAGAAGAAACCAGAGAGAAGGUUUCAAAGGUGGGAAGCAGGUGUUUGAGGGUGGUGGGAAUGUUAGGCUAAGGGCUACAUUUGUUUUUUCAGACAGGGUCUCACUCUGUUCAUCCAGGCUGGAGUGCCAUAGUGCAAACAUAGCUCACUGUAACUGUGAGCUCCUAGGCUCAAGCGAUCCUCCUGCCUCAGCCUCCCAGCUAGGACUACAGGUGCACACCACCAUGCCUGGCUAAUUUUUAAAAAUUUUUUGUAGAGACAGGAUCUUGCUAUGUUGACUAGGCUGGUGUCAAACUCCUGGCCUCAAGCAAUCCUCCUGCCUCCGCUUCCCAAAGUGCUGUGAUUACACACGCUGCACCUGGCCAAGGCUACCUUUUUAAUGUAGAAAACUAAGAAGCCUCUUCAGGUUUCUGAAUAAAGAACGAGAAGACAAUGAUGAUGAAAACUGGAAACAAGCAGGUGGCCAUUACCGCAAUUAAGGCUAAAAUCUAGGUUAAGAAAGGGGAGAGAGAACUGCAAAUGAAAAGGGCAAAGAUGCAGUGAGGAUGAGAAGUUACAAAAGCUAAAAAGAAGGAA